UUUUCUUAAGAGGUCAACAAAAAGUUAUUUCAAAGAACUCAAAGCAUCUGUCCUUUAAUACCUGGGUAUUAUACACCUAAAUAUGCUCCCAUAAAGGGUAAGAAAGCUGCACAAUCCAGCAGCAGCUGAUCCAGCACAAAGUGACCAGAGUGAAUCACAGCCUGCACAAACUGUGGUGGGGAGAGGCAAAGCCUUUCCUCCACUCUGCAUCAUGCCACAUGCAGCAGAGAUGCGAUGGCUGCUGCACGAACCUUUAUCCCAUGUCUCUUGCAGGGAAGCAGCAAUGGGCUGAGCACCACAUCCCCACUGAGUGGUUUCACUCUGCUGGCCUUCUGCUGGAUCUUCCACACCUGGCAGCUUAGGAACCAAAUGGAAAUGAGGGAGAGAGCUCCUACCCGAGCUGUGUCACCAGCUUGCUUCAUGCUGUUUCAACAUGCUCAUCUCCACCAGUGGUGACACAGCUUGGCUAUUUCACUUUGAAGUCUCUGCCUGGGAGGUUUUUCUUGGAGGAGGAAAGGGAAAUGGAAGAAAAGACUUCUAAGUCUCACCAUGAAAAGAAAGAUUGGUAAGAGAAUUCAACCAGGUUUUUUUGAACACUUGCUUAGAUUGUCUUUUGGAUUCAUAAACGAAGACAUGGAGAUGCACUUGCAUAAUUUAAGUAUGCAAAUCUAAUAUAUUUCUGAAAACAGGAGAACACUUCAGACUACACGGGGAAACCCAAGGCAAGCACUGAUGCCCCACAUCACUGCCUGUCUGACCAGCAAUAAACAGUCAGACAGGGCUGUUCUAAUUCCUCGCGACAUGAAACAUCCACCACAACUGAACUGGGCACCAAAGACCUAGCAAGCA